rnacentral:lncRNA from 1 species
UCCUUUACUACAAAAUCAAAGGUUCAUUCACACCUGAGGCCAAAGCUUGGUUACCAAAAUAUGAAUAUACAAAAGUAAGAGUCAUUACAAUAAUUACAAAAAGGUGUCAACAGAGUGCGGACAAAAUAUUACACUCAUAAAUAUCCUAAGGAUCCAGGAAGGGAUCCAAACAAGCUUAAAGGGGCAACUCAACGAAUGAAUCAUCACUCCCAUCAUCUUAAUGAGGCAUAGAUUAGGGUGAAUUUCAUAAACUCAGUAAGGAAAAUAAUAUUUAAACAACACAACUAAGGUUUAUAAAGGUGAUUAAUUUUUAGAAUAAAACAUCAU